UACGGGGGGGCAAGCGUUGUUCGGAAUUACUGGGCGUAAAGGGCUCGUAGGUGGCCAACUAAGUCAGACGUGAAAUCCCUCGGCUUAACCGGGGAACUGCGUCUGAUACUGGAUGGCUUGAGUUCGGGAGAGGGAUGCGGAAUUCCAGGUGUAGCGGUGAAAUGCGUAGAUAUCAGGAGGAACACCGGUGGCGAAGGCGGGUCUCUGGGCCGAUACUGACGCUGAGGAGCGAAAGCCAGGGAGCAAACGGG
rnacentral:rRNA from 1 species